rnacentral:rRNA from 1 species
GUAGGUGGCAAGCGUUGUCCCGGAAUUAUUGGGCGUUAAAGCGCGCGCAGGGCGGUCCUUUAAGUCUGAUGUGAAAGCCCACGGCUCAACCGUGGAGGGUCAUUGGAAACUGGGGGACUUGAGUACAGAAGAGGAAAGCGGAAUUCCAAGUGUAGCGGUGAAAUGCGUAGAGAUUUGGAGGAACACCAGUGGCGAAGGCGGCUUUCUGGUCUGUAACUGACGCUGAGGCGCGAAAGCGUGGGGAGCAAACAGGAUUAGAUACCCUGGUAGUCCACGCCGUAAACGAUGAGUGCUAAGUGUUAGGGGGUUUCCGCCCCUUAGUGCUGCAGCUAACGCAUUAAGCACUCCGCCUGGGGAGUACGGCCGCAAAGGCUG